GUGUCAGGGAACUUUGGGGAUCAUGGACGUGUUUUACAAUUGGAGCACGGUGAUUGUCGUGUGGCUAGCUCUGUAAAUUUUCUAGAACUCCUUGAACUGUUUUUGCUUAAAAUGGGUGAAUCUUAGGGCAUGGAAAUCACACCUCAAUAACACUGUCAACUUUGGGGACACCUGGGUGGCACAGUUGGUGGAGUGCCUGACUCUUGGUAUGGGCUCAGUUUAUGAUCUCAGGGUCACGAGAUUGAGCCCCCAUCGGGGUCGGAGCUUGGGAUUCAUUCCCCCUCUGGUCUUCCCCCCUCACUCAUGCUCUCUUUCUCUCUCUCUCUCUAAAAAAAAUUAAAAACAACAACAUU